rnacentral:rRNA from 1 species
CAGCCGCCGCGGUAAUACGUAGGGUGCUAGCGUUAAUCGGAUUUACUGGGCGUAAAGCGUGCGCAGGCGGCCCGUUAAGACAGGUGUGAAAUCCCUGGGCUCAACCUAGGAAUUGCGCUUGUGACUGGCGGGCUCGAGUACGGUAGAGGGGGGUGGAAUUCCUGGUGUAGCAGUGAAAUGCGUAGAGAUCAGGAGGAACACCGAUGGCGAAGGCAGCCCCCUGGGCCUGUACUGACGCUCAUGCACGAAAGCGUGGGGAGCAAACAGGAUUAGAUACCCUGGUAGUCCACGCCCUAAACGAUGGGUACUAGCCGUUUGGUGCGCGAUAGCGCUGAGUGGCGAAGCUAACGCGUGAAGUACCCCGCCUGGGGAGUACGGCCGCAAGGUUGAAACUUAAAGGAAUUGGCGGG